AUGGAAGGUCGGAAAAGCAAAAAUCCUUUUGAAGAAUUUAAAGAUUUGCAACAGAUCCACGAUGUUGAGAAGUACAUAAAGGAAUUCAAAUACAUAUCUUCACAAGCGGUUCGCCUCCCUGAAGAUCAGUACCUUGGUUAUUUUGGGAAGGCUCAAAUUGGAAAUAAGAUUGAAGGUGAGAGCUUUCAACCCUGGAACUCGGAUUUAGGCCAUGAAGAUGGCUCGAAAUGUGGAAACAGAGCUGCGUUGAUCUUUGAUUCAUAG